UGACGGAGCACGCCGCGUGAGUGAUGAAGGCUUUCGGGUCGUAAAACUCUGUUGUUAGGGAAGAACAAGUGCUAGUUGAAUAAGCUGGCACCUUGACGGUACCUAACCAGAAAGCCACGGCUAACUACGUGCCAGCAGCCGCGGUAAUACGUAGGUGGCAAGCGUUAUCCGGAAUUAUUGGGCGUAAAGCGCGCGCAGGUGGUUUCUUAAGUCUGAUGUGAAAGCCCACGGCUCAACCGUGGAGGGUCAUUGGAAACUGGGAGACUUGAGUGCAGAAGAGGAAAGUGGAAUUCCAUGUGUAGCGGUGAAAUGCGUAGAGAUAUGGAGGAACACCAGUGGCGAAGGCGACUUUCUGGUCUGUAACUGACACUGAGGCGCGAAAGCGUGGGGAGCAAACAGGAUUAGAUACCCUGGUAGUCCACGCCGUAAACGAUGAGUGCUAAGUGUUAGAGGGUUUCCGCCCUUUAGUGCUGAAGUUAACGCAUUAAGCACUCCGCCUGGGGAGUACGGCCGCAAGGCUGAAACUCAAAGGAAAAUUGACGGA
rnacentral:rRNA from 1 species